AGCAGCAGCCGCGGGAAUACGAAGGGGGCUAGCGUUGUUCGGAAUUACUGGGCGUAAAGCGCACGUAGGCGGACAUUUAAGUCAGGGGUGAAAUCCCGGGGCUCAACCCCGGAACUGCCUUUGAUACUGGGUGUCUAGAGUAUGGAAGAGGUGAGUGGAAUUCCGAGUGUAGAGGUGAAAUUCGUAGAUAUUCGGAGGAACACCAGUGGCGAAGGCGGCUCACUGGUCCAUUACUGACGCUGAGGUGCGAAAGCGUGGGGAGCAAACAGGAUUAGAUACCCCUGUAGUCCCUGUCUCUUAUAC
rnacentral:rRNA from 1 species